UACGGGAGGCAGCAGUGGGGAAUAUUGCACAAUGGGCGCAAGCCUGAUGCAGCCAUGCCGCGUGUAUGAAGAAGGCCUUCGGGUUGUAAAGUACUUUCAGCAGUGAGGAAGGUGGGUAUGUUAAUAGCAUACUCAUUUGACGUUAGCUGCAGAAGAAGCACCGGCUAACUCCGUGCCAGCAGCCGCGGUAAUACGGAGGGUGCGAGCGUUAAUCGGAAUUACUGGGCGUAAAGCGCAUGCAGGUGGUUUGUUAAGUCAGAUGUGAAAGCCCGGGGCUCAACCUCGGAAUUGCAUUUGAAACUGGCAAACUAGAGUACUGUAGAGGGGGUAGAAUUUCAGGUGUAGCGGUGAAAUGCGUAGAGAUCUGAAGGAAUACCGGUGGCGAAGGCGGCCCCCUGGACAGAUACUGACACUCAGAUGCGAAAGCGUGGGGAGCAAACAGGAUUAGAUACCCGGUAG
rnacentral:rRNA from 1 species